GCGAUAGCUCGGUGUUAAAAGCAUCUGCUUGUCAUGCAGAAGGUCCCGGUCUCGAUCCCUGGCAUCUACA